ACGAUGGACAAAGGCUGCCAUGUGUAGUCAUGGUAUUGAAGAACCUACUUUGAGGACAAAUGUUGUGGCUACUAGUGUUUGGAGGUCACAAACAAUCAGAAAGUUUGUUAAGUUGAUAACAAGUUGUCAGAAUUCUUUGAAUGCAAGGGCAGAGGUUGAGUGUUAUUUCAAUCUGUUAAAAGAAAAGGUUGAGAGUGUAUCAGGUGUAAUUGACUUUAGUGAACCUGUUAAAGAGGUUGAAAUUGUUGAUCUUGAGAUCAAGAAUCCUCCAAAAGCUAGGCCUAAAGGUGAGAGGAAUGUAAGGCCUAAGAGUACCUUGGAGAAGCAGUGUAACAAGGCAAAGGGUAAUUUCAAGAGGAAAAAGUCUCUGUACACUCCUUACAAAAGGGGUAUAGGGCAAGCAGUUGUACAGGAACUUGAUGAGAACGGUUGUGUUGUUACUUAUGCUAAUUCUAUUAGUGAUCCCAUUGAAUUGAUUGUUUUGAGCAAUAAACGGGCUCAGGUAAAUUCAAAUGUGCCAAAAAAAACAUUUUAUUUAUAUUUUAUUAAUAUUGAUUUUUAUAAUUUAAAAAUAUAGGCCGGCUUAAAAUCAGCUGUUGUAGAAGAAAUUCCUUCUAGUUCUAAGGAAUCAAAUCAUAGUAUUUCCAAUGAUUUUGAUCAGGCUACUGGUGAAAGCUCUCUUUCAUCUAUCAUAUCUAUUGAUGUUGAUAUUUCAUCUAUUGCUAAGGCGAAGGAUUUAAAUCUUGAAGGUGUUUCUGCUGUUCAACCUUGUUCUAAUUUUGGUGCAAAUAAAGGUGCUUCUGGUGUUAAAACUUACUCUCAAAUUAAUCCAAGAGUUCCAAUUCAUACUAGUGCGUCAACAAAAUCUCCUGUUGUUAUUCAACCUACUGUUCCCAGGAAUGUUCAAAAUCAAACUCAGAAUUGUUCAAACACCAAUCCAGAAAUGAUCAUAUCCAACUCCAGGAAUGUUCAAUCAACAAAUGUUCAAGUUAUUUCUCCUACGGUUCAAAUAAAUGAUCAAGGAUUUCCUGUUCAGAAUGUUCAAGUUACUCCUCCCACAGUUCAAAGAAAUGAUCAAGGUGCUCGUGUUCCAAUUCUUCAAUCAAGAAAUGUUCAAUUAGGUUCUAAAAAGAUUUCUUCUAAAUAUGAUAGGUUGUUAGCCUUUUUUGAUACAAGUGUAGCUAAACGUUUGGCUAAUAAAGAUAAAUAAUUAGUAUUCCAGAACUUUAUAAA